rnacentral:misc_RNA from 1 species
GAUGAAGAACGCAGCGAAAUGCGAUAAGUAAUGUGAAUUGCAGAAUUCAGUGAAUCAUCGAAUCUUUGAACGCAUCUUGCGCUCCUUGGUAUUCUGAGGAGCAUGCCUGUUUGAGUGUCAUUAAAUUCUCAACUACACUGACUUUGAAUUCGUGUGGCUUGGAUUUGGGGGGAAAAUUGUUGUGGGCUUUUUGUAUAGUCUGCUCCCCUGAAAUUGAUUAGCGGUACCUUUGUGGAACUGUCUACAGGUGUGAUAAUUAUCUACAUCUUAGACAUCUGCUGGAAUGCUGCUUUCUAAACCUUACUUGUAUUGACAAUCUUGACCUCAAAUCAGGUAGGACUACCCGCUGAACUUAAGCAUAUCAAUAAGCGGAGGA